UGGUGCAAAAGUAAUUGCGGUUUUUGCCACUAAAAGUAAUGACAAAAACUACAAUUACUUUUGCACCC
rnacentral:miRNA from 1 species